rnacentral:lncRNA from 1 species
AGGCAAUCAAGCAAAUCUUUCUUUAUGCCAGCAAAGUCCAAAAGUUAUCAUCAGCACCUUUAGGUCAGUGGUAUCCUAAGGGAAUUCAGAUAAAUCUCUGGGAUACUCUAUUUUCUUCCUUUUUGCCUGAGAAGAACAGCAGCCAGCAACUGUAGUGCAAACCCAAUACUUUCUUCAGACAGAAACGUGACUCUCAGACAUCAAGCAAAUCUGAAGUCUGGUAUUAUCAGACUUACCUCAUUACAACUUUGUCAAUUACCUUUUUUCAUGUAGCUGGCAGUGACGAGAGAUUUCUUGUGCAGAGAAUGCAAAGCUCAAAGAAGCUGAUAUGUUGUGAGCUUCCAGUCUUUUUUUGUCUCUGGACUGGUUCCUGGUUCCUGCUUUAAGACGAGAACUCACCUCCCUGGCUCUGGUAAGUCUCCUCCACUCACCAAAGCAAUGCUUCACUCUCUCUCAAUAUUAGUAGUGAAGUUCUGUGCCUCCAUGCAAAUUUC